rnacentral:rRNA from 1 species
UACGUAGGGUGCAAGCGUUAAUCGGAAUUACUGGGCGUAAAGCGUGCGCAGGCGGUUGUGUAAGACAGAUGUGAAAUCCCCGGGCUCAACCUGGGAACUGCAUUUGUGACUGCACAGCUGGAGUGCGGCAGAGGGGGAUGGAAUUCCGCGUGUAGCAGUGAAAUGCGUAGAUAUGCGGAGGAACACCGAUGGCGAAAGCAGGGUCCUGGACUCGUACUGACGCUGAGGCGCGAAAGCCAGGGGAGCGAACGGG